rnacentral:lncRNA from 12 species
CCCCCCCCCCCCCCCCCCCCCCCCCCCCCCCCCCCCCCCCCCCCCCCCCCCCCCCCCCCCCCCCCCGCGGGCCGGGGGCGGCCCAGCCCGGGGCCCUCCCGGGGCCCUCCCGGUGCCCUCCCGGUGCCCCGGUGUCCCCCGGUGUCCCCCAAUGUCCCCCGGCGUCCCCGGCGCGCCGCGCCCGGCGCUGUCCGUGGUGCUGAUGGCCCCGACGGGGCGGGAGCGGCGCCCGGGACCUGCCGGGGGGCGGCCGCAUGAUCCGCAUCCCACAUGACAUCCCAGAAAGGAGCUGGGCAGCGGCCACCCCUGCGAAACGUCAUUUUUUUUCCUCCGGUGAAGAAGAGGGGUGGAUUACCCCGUCCCUCCGCUCAGGCGGCUUUGCAAACAGCCGGGCAGGGGCAGCUGCAGAUCCGAGGUACCUUGUGGUUCCCAGCAUGACCGGCACCUUCCCAAACGUGCCUUCACUUGGGAUAACCAGCAGAGCAAGGAGGAGACCAGCGCCUCUGGAAUUAUGCUGUGGAGCAGUGAGGAGACCAGCACCACACAAGAACCACCUCUGCUGAAUGUGGGCAGCUCUUCCCACCCCCCUGUUGCUUCCUCUGCCAGCAAAGCUCCAACACAAGGCACCUGGAUGAACCUCCUGGAAUUCUCCUCCCUCUGGACACCCACUGGUUGCUCUCCAUUAGGAUCUCACAUCAUUCUCUGCCCAGGGCUUCUCAAUUCUUGUCUUCUUCAAGGCGUCCUUGCAGACACAGGAGUCCAAAUGCCCUGCCAACAUCUGGUGACAGAAGGAUUUCUCCAGGAGAGCAGAUCCAUCCAAAGGAGGGUGGGGAAAGACAAGCAGCAGCCCUCUGAGGAAUCAGGAAUCAUCUGCCAGGCAAAGCCACUAAGAAAAUAA